rnacentral:rRNA from 1 species
AUGAGUAGGGCGGGACACGUGGUAUCCUGUCUGAAUAUGGGGGGCCCAUCCUCCAAGGCUAAAUACUCCUGACUGACCGAUAGUGAACCAGUACCGUGAGGGAAAGGCGAAAAGAACCCCGGCGAGGGGAGUGAAAAAGAACCUGAAACCGUGUACGUACAAGCAGUGGGAGCACGCUUAGGCGUGUGACUGCGUACCUUUUGUAUAAUGGGUCAGCGACUUAUAUUCUGUAGCAAGGUUAACCGAAUAGGGGAGCCGAAGGGAAACCGAGUCUUAACUGGGCGUUAAGUUGCAGGGUAUAGACCCGAAACCCGGUGAUCUAGCCAUGGGCAGGUUGAAGGUUGGGUAACACUAACUGGAGGACCGAACCGACUAAUGUUGAAAAAUUAGCGGAUGACUUGUGGCUGGGGGUGAAAGGCCAAUCAAACCGGGAGAUAGCUGGUUCUCCCCGAAAGCUAUUUAGGUAGCGCCUCGUGAAUUCAUCUCCGGGGGUAGAGCACUGUUUCGGCAAGGGGGUCAUCCCGACUUACCAACCCGAUGCAAACUGCGAAUACCGGAGAAUGUUAUCACGGGAGACACACGGCGGGUGCUAACGUCCGUCGUGAAGAGGGAAACAACCCAGACCGCCAGCUAAGGUCCCAAAGUCAUGGUUAAGUGGGAAACGAUGUGGGAAGGCCCAGACAGCCAGGAUGUUGGCUUAGAAGCAGCCAUCAUUUAAAGAAAGCGUAAUAGCUCACUGGUCGAGUCGGCCUGCGCGGAAGAUGUAACGGGGCUAAACCAUGCACCGAAGCUGCGGCAGCGACGCUUAUGCGUUGUUGGGUAGGGGAGCGUUCUGUAAGCCUGCGAAGGUGUGCUGUGAGGCAUGCUGGAGGUAUCAGAAGUGCGAAUGCUGACAUAAGUAACGAUAAAGCGGGUGAAAAGCCCGCUCGCCGGAAGACCAAGGGUUCCUGUCCAACGUUAAUCGGGGCAGGGUGAGUCGACCCCUAAGGCGAGGCCGAAAGGCGUAGUCGAUGGGAAACAGGUUAAUAUUCCUGUACUUGGUGUUACUGCGAAGGGGGGACGGAGAAGGCUAUGUUGGCCGGGCGACGGUUGUCCCGGUUUAAGCGUGUAGGCUGGUUUUCCAGGCAAAUCCGGAAAAUCAAGGCUGAGGCGUGAUGACGAGGCACUACGGUGCUGAAGCAACAAAUGCCCUGCUUCCAGGAAAAGCCUCUAAGCAUCAGGUAACAUCAAAUCGUACCCCAAACCGACACAGGUGGUCAGGUAGAGAAUACCAAGGCGCUUGAGAGAACUCGGGUGAAGGAACUAGGCAAAAUGGUGCCGUAACUUCGGGAGAAGGCACGCUGAUAUGUAGGUGAAGUCCCUUGCGGAUGGAGCUGAAAUCAGUCGAAGAUACCAGCUGGCUGCAACUGUUUAUUAAAAACACAGCACUGUGCAAACACGAAAGUGGACGUAUACGGUGUGACGCCUGCCCGGUGCCGGAAGGUUAAUUGAUGGGGUCAGCGCAAGCGAAGCUCUUGAUCGAAGCCCCGGUAAACGGCGGCCGUAACUAUAACGGUCCUAAGGUAGCGAAAUUCCUUGUCGGGUAAGUUCCGACCUGCACGAAUGGCGUAAUGAUGGCCAGGCUGUCUCCACCCGAGACUCAGUGAAAUUGAACUCGCUGUGAAGAUGCAGUGUACCCGCGGCAAGACGGAAAGACCCCGUGAACCUUUACUAUAGCUUGACACUGAACAUUGAGCCUUGAUGUGUAGGAUAGGUGGGAGGCUUUGAAGUGUGGACGCCAGUCUGCAUGGAGCCGGCCUUGAAAUACCACCCUUUAAUGUUUGAUGUUCUAACGUGGACCCGUGAUCCGGGUUGCGGACAGUGUCUGGUGGGUAGUUUGACUGGGGCGGUCUCCUCCUAAAGAGUAACGGAGGAGCACGAAGGUUGGCUAAUCCUGGUCGGACAUCAGGAGGUUAGUGCAAUGGCAUAAGCCAGCUUGACUGCGAGCGUGACGGCGCGAGCAGGUGCGAAAGCAGGUCAUAGUGAUCCGGUGGUUCUGAAUGGAAGGGCCAUCGCUCAACGGAUAAAAGGUACUCCGGGGAUAACAGGCUGAUACCGCCCAAGAGUUCAUAUCGACGGCGGUGUUUGGCACCUCGAUGUCGGCUCAUCACAUCCUGGGGCUGAAGUAGGUCCCAAGGGUAUGGCUGUUCGCCAUUUAAAGUGGUACGCGAGCUGGGUUUAGAACGUCGUGAGACAGUUCGGUCCCUAUCUGCCGUGGGCGCUGGAGAACUGAGGGGGGCUGCUCCUAGUACGAGAGGACCGGAGUGGACGCAUCACUGGUGUUCGGGUUGUCAUGCCAAUGGCACUGCCCGGUAGCUAAAUGCGGAAGAGAUAAGUGCUGAAAGCAUCUAAGCACGAAACUUGCCCCGAGAUGAGUUCUCCCUGACCCUUUAAGGGUCCUGAAGGAACGUUGAAGACGACGACGUUGAUAGGCCGGGUGUGUAAGCGCAGCGAUGCGUUGAGCUAACCGGUACUAAUGAACCGUGAGG